rnacentral:rRNA from 1 species
AGCAGCUUGCUGCUUUGAGACCGGCGCACGGGUGCGUAACGCGUAUGCAAUCUGCCUUUUGCUGGGGGAUUGCCCGGAGAAAUUCGGAUUAAUACCCCAUAGUAUCUUAGAGCUGCAUAGUUUUGAGAUUAAAGGAUUACGGCAAGAGAUGAGCAUGCGUCCUAUUAGUUAGUUGGCGAGGUAACGGCUCACCAAGACGUCGAUAGGUAGGGGUCCUGAGAGGGAAGUCCCCCACACUGGUACUGAGACACGGACCAGACUCCUACGGGGGGCAGCAGUGAGGAAUAUUAGACAAUGGUCGGAAGACUGAUCUAGCCAUGCCGCGUGCAGGAUGACGGCCUUAUGGGUUGUAAACUGCUUUUAUACGGGAAGAAUAAGGGGUACGCGUACUCUGAUGACGGUACUGUGUGAAUAAGCAUCGGCUAACUCCGUGCCAGCAGCCGCGGUAAUACGGAGGAUGCAAGCGUUAUCCGGAAUCAUUGGGUUUAAAGGGUCUGUAGGCGGAUAUUUAAGUCAGGGGUGAAAGUUUGCCGCUCAACGGUAAAAUUGCCUUUGAUACUGGAUGUCUUGAGUUAUUUGGAAGUGGUUAGAAUGUGUAGUGUAGCGGUGAAAUGCAUAGAUAUUACACAGAAUACCGAUUGCGAAGGCAGAUCACUACGGAUAUACUGACGCUGAGGGACGAAAGCGUGGGUAGCAAACAGGAUUAGAUACCCUGGUAGUCCACGCUGUAAACGAUGGUCACUAGCUGUUUGAUUUUAGGAUUGGGUGGCCAAGCG